rnacentral:rRNA from 1 species
ACGUAGGUGGCGAGCGUUGUCCGGAUUUACUGGGCGUAAAGAGCGCGCAGGCGGUCGUGCAAGUCGGAUGUGAAAGCCCCCGGCUCAACUGGGGAGGGUCAUUCGAUACUGCUCGACUCGAAGGCGGGAGAGGGAAGCGGAAUUCCCGGUGUAGUGGUGAAAUGCGUAGAUAUCGGGAGGAACACCAGUGGCGAAGGCGGCUUCCUGGCCCGUUCUUGACGCUGAGGCGCGAAAGCUAGGGGAGCGAACGGGAUUAGAUACCCCGGUAGUCCUAGCCGUAAACGAUGGACACUAGGUGUUGGUGGUAUCAACCCCGCCAGUGCCGAAGCUAACGCAUUAAGUGUCCCGCCUGGGGAGUACGGCCGCAAGGCUA